GGCGAACGCUGGCGGCGUGCUUAACACAUGCAAGUCGAACGGAAAGGCCUUUUCGGAGGUACUCGAGUGGCGAACGGGUGAGUAACACGUGGGUGAUCUGCCCUGCACUCUGGGAUAAGCCUGGGAAACUGGGUCUAAUACCGGAUAGGACCGCACUUUAGUGUGUGUGGUGGAAAGUUUUUUCGGUGUAGGAUGAGCCCGCGGCCUAUCAGCUUGUUGGUGGGGUAAUGGCCUACCAAGGCGGCGACGGGUAGCCGGACUGAGAGGUUGGUCGGCCACAUUGGGACUGAGAUACGGCCCAGACUCCUACGGGAGGCAGCAGUGGGGAAUAUUGCACAAUGGGCGCAAGCCUGAUGCAGCGACGCCGCGUGGGGGAUGACGGCCUUCGGGUUGUAAACUCCUUUCGCCAGGGACGAAGCGUUUUGUGACGGUACCUGGAGAAGAAGCACCGGCUAACUACGUG
rnacentral:rRNA from 1 species